rnacentral:tRNA from 1 species
UGGAAUGUAUCUCUAUGGCAGAGUAUUUGCCUCAAAUGAGCAAAGCUGUGGGUUUGAUCUCCCAUCAUUGCAA